AUGGGUGCGCCGGCGUACAGCGCCGUGCUGCUCUUAUACCUUGCGCUGGUCGUGGGCGUCGCUACCGCGGAUGGGGCUCGGCCGGUCGAACGCACAAUUCCUUCCGCCGCUGGCUGUGACGGAGGAGUAACCGCGGUCGUCAACAGGUUCGGGGCGAGGGUCAACUCCAACUCGGUGCUGGUGGCGCUGCUGAACUCGCAGUGCACGGAGCUGGUGGAGAAGACGCUGAUGCUGCUGACGCUGGAGGGCGCCAGGAGCUGCAACAACAUCACCAUCUUUGCGCCGUGGAAUGACGUGUUUGUGCGGGACCUUGAGCGCUUCCUCCUUGAGCUCCGGAAUCUCAGGUCGCUACAGUCGCUGUUCCUCUUCCACGUCCUUCCCGCCCAACACCCCGCCGGGUCCUGGUCCGCUGCGUCCCACCACACGCUCUUCGGCGAGGAGGUCAAGCUCACUGCCGGGGCCGACGGCACCAUGCGCGUCGCCCACGCCGCCGUCACACUUCAGAACACCGUGCACAGGCCCGAAGGCGCCAUCCACGGCACCGAGCGCCUCCUCGUACCCCGCACCGUGCCGUUCAACCGCCACUCUAGCCUCGUCGCAAUCUCCAAUUUGCUUUAG
rnacentral:rRNA from 1 species